UACGUAGGGUGCGAGCGUUGUCCGGAUUUAUUGGGCGUAAAGAGCGUGUAGGCGGCCAGACAGGUCCGUUGUGAAAACUGGAGGCUUAACCUUCAGACGUCGAUGGAAACCGUCUGGCUAGAGUCCGGAAGAGGAGAGUGGAAUUCCUGGUGUAGCGGUGAAAUGCGCAGAUAUCAGGAAGAACACCCGUGGCUAAGGCGGCUCUCUAGUACGGUACUGACGCUGAGACGCGAAAGCGUGGGGAGCGAACAGG
rnacentral:rRNA from 1 species